CCGAGUUAUCCAACUCCCAACCCCUGUGAAUUAUACCUUUAAUUGUUGCUUCGGCGGGACUUCGCGCCCGCCGGGGACCCAAACCUUCUGAAUUUUUUAAUAAGUAUCCUCUGAGUGGUUAAAAAAAUGAAUCA
rnacentral:misc_RNA from 1 species